rnacentral:rRNA from 1 species
UACGUUGGGUGCGAGCGUUAAUCGGAAUUACUGGGCGUAAAGCGUGCGCAGGCGGCUUUGCAAGACAGAUGUGAAAUCCCCGGGCUCAACCUGGGAACUGCAUUUGUGACUGCAAGGCUAGAGUACGGCAGAGGGGGAUGGAAUUCCGCGUGUAGCAGUGAAAUGCGUAGAUAUGCGGAGGAACACCAAUGGCGAAGGCAAUCCCCUGGGCCUGUACUGACGCUCAUGCACGAAAGCGUGGGGAGCAAACAGG